rnacentral:rRNA from 1 species
GAUGAACGCUGGCGGCGUGCCUAAUACAUGUAAGUCGAGCGAACAGACGAGGAGCUUGCUCCUCUGACGUUAGCGGCGGACGGGUGAGUAACACGUGGAUAACCUACCUAUAAGACUGGGAUAACUUCGGGAAACCGGAGCUAAUACCGGAUAAUAUAUUGAACCGCAUGGUUCAAUAGUGAAAGACGGUUUUGCUGUCACUUAUAGAUGGAUCCGCGCCGCAUUAGCUAGUUGGUAAGGUAACGGCUUACCAAGGCAACGAUGCGUAGCCGACCUGAGAGGGUGAUCGGCCACACUGGAACUGAGACACGGUCCAGACUCCUACGGGAGGCAGCAGUAGGGAAUCUUCCGCAAUGGGCGAAAGCCUGACGGAGCAACGCCGCGUGAGUGAUGAAGGUCUUCGGAUCGUAAAACUCUGUUAUUAGGGAAGAACAAAUGUGUAGGUAACUAUGCACGUCUUGACGGUACCUAAUCAGAAAGCCACGGCUAACUACGUG